CAGCAGCCGCGGUAAUACGGAGGGUGCAAGCGUUACUCGGAAUCACUGGGCGUAAAGAGCGUGUAGGCGGGUUAUUAAGUCAGAUGUGAAAGCCAAUGGCUCAACCAUUGAACUGCAUUUGAAACUGGUAACCUAGAAUAUGGGAGAGGUAGAUGGAAUUUCUGGUGUAGGGGUAAAAUCCGUAGAGAUCAGAAGGAAUACCGAUUGCGAAGGCGAUCUACUGGAACAUUAUUGACGCUGAGACGCGAAAGCGUGGGGAGCAAACAGGAUUAGAUACCCUGGUAGUCCACGCCCUAAACGAUGCACACUAGUUGUUGCUAUGCUAGACAUAGCAGUAAUGCAGUUAACACAUUAAGUGUGCCGCCUGGGGAGUACGGUCGCAAGAUUAAAACUCAAAGGAAUAGACGGGGACCCGCACAAGCGGUGGAGCAUGUGGUUUAAUUCGACGAUACGCGAAGAACCUUACCUGGACUUGACAUAGUAAGAAGAUUUAAGAGAUUAGAUUGUGUCUGCUUGCAGAAACUUAUAUACAGGUGCUGCACGGCUGUCGUCAGCUCGUGUCGUGAGAUGUUGGGUUAAGUCCCGCAACGAGCGCACCCCUCGUCGUUAGUUGCUACCAGUUUGGCUGAGAACUCUACGAGACUGCCUGGGUAACCAGGAGGAAGGUGAGGACGACGUCAAGUCAUCAUGGCCCUUACGUCCAGGGCUACACACGUGCUACAAUGGGGUAUACAAAGAGCCGCAAUACCGUGAGGUGGAGCAAAUCUCAAAAAUAUCUCCCAGUUCGGAUAGCACUCUGCAACUCGAGUGCUUGAAGUUGGAAUCGCUAGUAAUCGUAGAUCAGCAAUGCUACGGUGAAUACGUUCCCGGGUCUUGUACUCACCGCCCGUCACACCAUGGGAGUUGAUUUCAUUCGAAGCGGGGAUGCUAAAAUAGCUACCUUCCACAGUGGAAUCGGCGACUGGGGUGAAGUCGUAACAAGGUAACCGUA
rnacentral:rRNA from 1 species